rnacentral:rRNA from 1 species
ACCUGCAGACCCAUCAGUACCCUGACACAUGGCCACAUAAUCUCACCCGAAUUUAGAAGCUGAGUAGGGUUAGGCCUGAUUAGUACUUAGAUGGGUGACUACCAGCAGAUAUGAGGGAGCUGUAGGUA